rnacentral:piRNA from 1 species
UUACGUGGUGCAGAUUGACUGUGACAGUCCC